AUACGGAGGGGGCUAGCGUUGCUCGGGAUCACUGGGCGUAAAGGGCGUGUAGGCGGGACAGCAAGUCGGGUGUGAAAGCCCUGGGCUCAACCCAGGAAGGGCAUUCGAUACUACUGUUCUUGAGUAUGACAGAGGAAAGCGGAAUUCCCGGUGUAGCGGUGAAAUGCGUAGAUAUCGGGAAGAACACCUGUGGCGAAGGCGGCUUUCUGGGUCACAACUGACGCUGAGGCGCGAAAGCUAGGGGAGCGAACGGGAUUAGAAACCCCGGUAGUCC
rnacentral:rRNA from 1 species